CUACGGGAGGCUGCAGCGAGGAAUAUUGCACAAUGGAGGAAACUCUGAUGCAGCAACGCCGCGUGGAGGAUGACGCAUUUCGGUGUGUAAACUCCUUUUAUGAGUCAAGAAAAUGACGGUAGCUCAUGAAUAAGCACCGGCUAACUCCGUGCCAGCAGCCGCGGUAAUACGGAGGGUGCAAGCGUUACUCGGAAUCACUGGGCGUAAAGGACGCGUAGGCGGGAUAUCAAGUCAGGUGUGAAAUCCUACAGCUUAACUGUAGAACUGCACUUGAAACUGGUAACCUAGAGUAUGGGAGGGGGAGAUGGAAUUAGUGGUGUAGGGGUAAAAUCCGUAGAUAUCACUAGGAAUACCUAAAGCGAAGGCGAUCUCCUGGAACAUAACUGACGCUAAGGCGUGAAAGCGUGGGGAGCAAACAGGAUUAGAUACCCUUGUAGUC
rnacentral:rRNA from 1 species